rnacentral:rRNA from 1 species
AUGUCUAACAUGGACCUUACUCAAAUAGCUGACACAGUAGUUCCAAACUUCAUGAUCAAUGGAGUGAUUCCUGUGUUUAUGGAACACUUCACAAAUGCGUUGAAGUCUCAUGGCACACUUGCUGAAGAGGAUUUCCAAUCUUGGUACUAUGCAUACCUCCUGCUACACCCCUUUGUUAUGUCAUCGAUAGGAAGGGCAAAUCUCCUUAGGAAUCUGUAUUGGCUUCUGGUGGACUUGAAUUUUGAGGAAAACCCGUUCUUUGAUACUGUUUUCAAAGUAGCUCCUUCUUCAAACUGGCGAGAUUUUAUCAAGCAGACCCCUGUGAACUACAUUCUCUGGAAGGUUUUCUGGUACAAGCUGAUACCAAAUUUCAACACCCUUCCUUAUUUCAACUUGUUGGGAAGCAUUAUAAAGUACCAUCGCCAUCUUGUUCAUCAUGGUCCUGACCAUGCCAGGGAUGGCAAGGUGACAACAAUGUCGAGCACAGAUGACAGCGAGUUACUUGCUGCAGCGCAUGACCAGGAUUGCCUCGCAGAGUGCAUCAAGAACCUUCUGCAACAGAAGAAAGUGACCAGCGACGUCAGUGUUGUGCUUGACGCUUACGCUGUGACAUGGGAGCUGUGA